GGGACAUGGGGACAGAGCUGCCCUCCUGACCUGAAAGCCAUGGCUCAUCCUAGAACCCAUGGCCCUUGACACAAUCCUUUCUACCAAAAGAGGCCACAGUCUCCCCAUGGCAACCCAAGCUGGAGAUCAGUUUCAGGCUGGACCGAGCCCAGGGAAGCUGCCCCGCGGCCUCCAGCUCCAAAAGGGUAGGGACUCUGCCUGCUAAGGGUGAGGCUGGCGGCAAAGGAGAGAGGAGGCUGGAAAGGAGAGACACGGAGACAAUCCCUCCACCAGGCUGUCCUCACAGGAGCACCUGAUGUGCCCAGGAAGUAGCAGGACCAACAGCGACAGAGCACCGAAAAAUCGAUGCUUUUGAACUGUGGUGUUGGAGAAGACUCUUGAGAGUCCCUUGGACUGCAAGGAGAUACAACCAGUCCAUCUUGAAGGAGAUCAGUCCUGGGUGUUCAUUGGAAGGACUGAUGCUGAAGUUGAAACUCCAGUACUUUGGCCACCUGAUGUGAAGAGUUGACUCAUUGGAAAAGACCCUGAUACUGGGAGGGAUUUGGGGCAGGAGGAGAAGGGGACGACAGAGGAUGAGAUGGCUGGAUGGCGUCACCGACUUGAUGGGCAUGAGUUUGAGUAAACUCCGGGAGUUUGUGGUGGACAGGGAGGCCUGGCGUGCUGCGAUUCAUGGGGUCGCAAAGAGUCGGACACAACUGAGCAACUGAACUGAACUGAACACACUGCAAUAAAGGAAUAAUGACAAUAUCGGACAGUGCUCAGUGGGCUGGGCUAUGACAGGUGUGUUCCAUCACGUUAUUUCCUUUCAUCCUCAGUGCAAGGAUAAUGCUGGCACUACUGUUGUGAUCGCCAUCCCCAUUUUACAGAUAUAGAAACUGAGACUUAGAGACUGUGUGUGUCCAGAAUCAUCCAGUUGGUAAGCUGUGGAGCCUGCUUCUUGAGAGAAAAGCUAUGACAGACCUAGACAGCUCAUUAAAAAGCAGAGACAUUACUUUGCCUACAAAGGUCCAUGUAGUCAAAGGUAUGGUUUUUCCAGUAGCCAUGUAUGGAUAUGAGAGUUGGACCAUAAAAAAGGCUGAACACAAAGAAGAAUUGUUGCUUUCAAAUUGUGGCACUGGAGAAGACUCUUGAGAGUCUCUUGAACAGCAAGGAGAUCAAAUCAGUCAACCCUAAAGGAAAUCAACCCUGAUAUUCAUUGGAAGGACUGAUGCUGAAGCUGAAGCUCUAAUACUUUGGCUGCCUGAUGUGAAGAACUGACUCAUUGCAAAAGACCCUGAUGCUGGGAAAGAUUGAGGGCAGGAGGCGAAGGGGAUGACAGAGGAUGAGAUGGUUGGAUGGCAUCAUCAACAGAGUGGGCAUGAGUUUGAGCAAACUUUGGGAGAUAAUGAAGGACAGGGAAGCCUGGCGCGCUGCAGUCCAUGGGGUCGCAAAGAGUCAGAUACUACUGAGUGACUAAACAACAACACAGUAGCUAGAAGUUGAGAAUUAAAGAUGAAAACCUAUCUUUGGUUUUGGAAUAAAUGAUAGCCCACUCA